UACGUAGGGGGCAAGCGUUGUCCGGAAUCAUUGGGCGUAAAGCGCGCGUAGGCGGCUAGAUCAGUCUGCUGUAAAAGUCAAAGGCUCAACCUUUGAAAGCCGGUGGAUACUGUCUAGCUAGAGUCCGGAAGAGGCGAGUGGAAUUCCUGGUGUAGCGGUGGAAUGCGCAGAUAUCAGGAGGAACACCAACGGCGAAGGCAGCUCGCUGGGACGGUACUGACGCUAAGGCGCGAAAGCGUGGGGAGCGAACGGG
rnacentral:rRNA from 1 species